GAUGAACGCUAGCUACAGGCUUAACACAUGCAAGUCGAGGGACCGGCGCACGGGUGAGUAACACGUAUCCAACCUGCCCUUUACUCGGGGAUAGCCUUUCGAAAGAAAGAUUAAUACCCGAUAGAAAGGAUGGGGAUGCGUUCCAUUAGGUUGUUGGUGAGGUAAAGGAUCACCAAGCCUUCGAUGGGUAGGGGUUCUGAUAGGAAGGCCCCCCACAUUUGAACUGCGACACGGUCCACACUCCUACGGGAGGCAGCAGUGAGGUAUAUUGGUCAAUGGGCGCUAGCCUGAACCAGCCAAGUAGCGUGAAGGAUUAUGGCUUAUUGGUCGUCAUCUUCUUUUAUAUAAGAAUAUGUAUUAUAUGAAUAAGGAUCGGCUAACUACGUGCCAGCAGCCGCGGUAAUAC
rnacentral:rRNA from 1 species